GAUAAACUGGAGGAAGGUGGGGAUGACGUCAAGUCAUCAUGGCCCUUACGACCAGGGCUACACACGUGCUACAAUGGCGCAUACAAAGAGAAGCGACCUCGCGAGAGCAAGCGGACCUCAUAAAGUGCGUCGUAGUCCGGAUUGGAGUCUGCAACUCGACUCCAUGAAGUCGGAAUCGCUAGUAAUCGUGGAUCAGAAUGCCACGGUGAAUACGUUCCCGGGCCUUGUACACACCGCCCGUCACACCAUGGGAGUGGGUUGCAAAAGAAGUAGGUAGCUUAACCUUCGGGAGGGCGCUUACCACUUUGUGAUUCAUGACUGGGGUGAAGUCGUAACAAGGUAACCGUAGGGGAACCUGCGGUUGGA
rnacentral:rRNA from 2 species